rnacentral:SRP_RNA from 1 species
GCCGGGUGCGGUGGCAUGUGCCUGUAAUCCCAGCUACUGGGGAGGCUGAGGUGGGAGGAUCGCUUGAGCCCAGGAGUUCUGGGCUGUACUGUGCUAUGCCGAUUGGGUGUCCGCACUAAGUUUGGCAUCACUGGGGUGACCUCCUGGGAGUGGGGACCACCAGGUUGCCUAAGGAGGGGUGAACCGGCCCAGGUCGGAAACGGAGCAGAUCACAACUCCCGUGCUGAUCAGCAGUUAGAUGGCAUCUGUGAAUAGCCACUACACUCAGCCUGGGCAACAUAGCAAGAACCCGUCUCU